rnacentral:tRNA from 2 species
UCCCUGGUGGUCCGGUGGUUAAGAUUCUGCACUCCUAAUGCAGGAGACCCAGGUUCAAUCCCUGGUCUGGGAA